rnacentral:misc_RNA from 1 species
UGGUGGUCUAGACCCACUGUGUAAGGAUUGGCGGCCCGUGUGUAAGGUGUUGGCCACUACUAAUGUGAUCAUGACCAACAUGGCUAUGACCAAUAAGGACAUUGGUUCUCCAAACAUGGAGUAUUGUUAUGAUAUUGUUACAAUCCUUCAUCAUUAAGGAACAAUCUUGAUGAGAAGAUAAUAAAUCCCUAAGCACCCUCCCCUUGCAAAUCGAUUUUCAAGAAUGAGUUUUACUUAGGUGGCC